rnacentral:tRNA from 1 species
GGAGAUGGAAGGAUUCCUGGUGGAUCCCGCGGCCUUCAAAGCCGUUGCGGGGCGUGCAGAACGUCUCGGGUGCGUUCGAUUCGCACACGUCUCCGCCA